UACCUAUAUUGCUGGUUUGGGAAGAACUGCUGCUUCAUAUAAACCAAAGCAAUUCACCUCAUAAAAUGAAAUUAUGAGUAGGGUUUUGAUUUGGGUAGAAAGAUGAACACGAUUUGGGUUUCGAAAUUGCAGAAGGAAGAACGAUGAACACGAUUUGCGUAGUGUUAGGGUUUCAGAAGGACGAACGAUGGAGUUUUGUUGUUUCAGAGCUCUCAGCGCGCAAAGAUUUGGGAUGAUAGAUGAGAUAGGCUAGGUUUUUG
rnacentral:lncRNA from 1 species